rnacentral:rRNA from 1 species
AAGACUCACUUGACUAGCUGAGAGGAGGUGCAUGGCCGUCGUCAGUUCGUACUGUGAAGCAUCCUGUUAAGUCAGGCAACGAGCGAGACCCACGCCAACAGUUGCCAGCUCGUCCUCCGGGAUGGUGGGGACACUGUUGGGACCGCCUCUGCUAAAGAGGAGGAAGGAAUGGGCAACGGUAGGUCAGCAUGCCCCGAAUUAUCUGGGCUACACGCGGGCUACAAUGGGUGGGACAAUGGGUAUCGACACCGAAAGGUGAAGGCAAUCUCCUAAACCCAUCCGUAGUUCGGAUUGUGGGCUGCAACUCGCCCACAUGAAGCUGGAAUCUGUAGUAAUCGUGUCUCAAAAUGGCACGGUGAAUAUGUCCCUGCUCCUU